rnacentral:piRNA from 1 species
UAGCAAGGGANUCAAGGGUUCAGGCACAGC